UACGUAGGUGGCGAGCGUUAUCCGGAAUUAUUGGGCGUAAAGAGCGCGCAGGUGGUUGAUUAAGUCUGAUGUGAAAGCCCACGGCUUAACCGUGGAGGGUCAUUGGAAACUGGUCGACUUGAGUGCAGAAGAGGGAAGUGGAAUUCCAUGUGUAGCGGUGAAAUGCGUAGAGAUAUGGAGGAACACCAGUGGCGAAGGCGGCUUUCUCGACUGUAACUGACACUGAGGCGCGAAAGCGUGGGGAGCAAACAGGAUUAGAUACCCGU
rnacentral:rRNA from 1 species